AUUGAACGCUGGCGGCAGGCCUAACACAUGCAAGUCGCGCGGAUGAAGGGUUCUUGCUCCUGGAUUCAGCGUCGGACGGGUGAGUAAUGCCUAGGAAUCUGCCUGGUAGUGGUGGCUAACGUCCUGACACGCGCGCUACUACCGCAUACGUCCUUAGGUCGCAAGUUGGGGAUCUUCCGACCUCACGCUAUCCGCUGUGCCUAGGUCGGAUUAGCUAGUUGGUUGGGUAAAGGCCUACCAAGGCGACGAUCCGUAACUGGUCUGAGAGGAUGAUCAGUCACACGGGAACUGAGAAACGGUCAAGACGCCUACGGGAGGGAGCAGUGGGGAAUAUGGGACAAUGGGCGAAAGCCUGAACCAGCAAUGCCGCGUGUGUGAAGAAGGUCGUAGGAUUGGAAAGCACUUUAAGUGGGGAGGAAGGGCAGUAAGUGAAUACCUUGCUGUUUUGACGUUACCAACAGAAUAAGCACCGGCGAACUUCGUG
rnacentral:rRNA from 1 species